rnacentral:tRNA from 1 species
GGGCCGUUAGCUCAGUUGGUAGAGCAGUUGACUCUUAAUCAAUAGGUCCAAGGUUCGAAUCCUUGACAGCCAACCA